GCCGGGCGCACCCGUCCCGUGCGUCCCCGGACGUUGCUCUCUGCCCCGGGAACGUCGAGACUGGAGCGCCCGAG
rfam:Ailuropoda melanoleuca scaffold3165_10, whole genome shotgun sequence.